rnacentral:tmRNA from 1 species
GGGGAUGCUAGGCAUUCGACGAAAAUUGCUCUUUUACAAAUUGCCAUCAGGGGAUCGCGCUGUCUCCCCUUAGAUCCGUCCAGCGCAAAUAUAAGUGCUAAAACACUUGCAAACGCACAAGCCAGAGAAGCUGCUUCUGUUGGAGCUCCGGCUCUUGCUUAUGCAUAAUCUUUCCCCUAUUCGGGAAAGUCGCCUUAUUUAAUGACUCCGAUGUUUUUAUAAGGUGUUACUUUAUCGGAUAAGGUUGCCGGAUCGUUCGGUCGGCGACUCGAAAAUUCAGGACUAAGCUUUUGGAGUUUUUUGUUUAUUUUUAAUUCCUAAAGUCGAAAAUUUAAAAUGAACUAUGAUGGUAGACGUUUGUAGCAGACAUUUUUGGACGCGGGUUCGAUUCCCGCCAUCUCCACCA